UUGCUAAGAAUGUGUGAGAGAUGAAGAGACGCAGCCAGAGGAGCAAUGUAUCUAAAAUCAGUCAACACGGUGACGUCCUGGCGUGAGGGAGCCUACAUGUAUGCACUGAGCAUAGGAAUUGCAUUACUUUGGUGUUGUACCUUCCUUCUUCCCACAUCCAUCACCUGCGUAGCUGGCAGGACCAUUACCACAUCCACCGGUACCAGUACAGCCCCUAAGCCCACUACAGCUGGGCCCACCAGUAUGGCUACCACCAUGCAAGCCACAACCACUGGAGCUACCAAGCUCAGGACAGCUACCAUCUCUACUGCCACCGCCACCACAAUCAGACCUUCCAGAGCUGCCAUUAGUACCACAGUAACCCCAUCAAGGAGAAACCAUGCUGAAGCACGAGUGCAUAAUCAGAAGCUCCCAUAAGUGUCCUCCCUGAUGCAUGCAAUUUAAUUGUAAGGUUCUCUAAUGAAUAUAAAUGACUGUU